UAAAUUUUUAAUUUUAUUUCAUUGUAAUAUAGAUAGCUGCGUGUGGCCUGUAUCUGUUGUCGUGGACAGUGCAGAUGAGGCGCUAGCAUAACCUAACACGGAUGGUUGUCCAUCUCAGUCCUGUAAACUGUACAGCUGGUCCCAGAGAUUGAGAACAGGGUCCUGCGUGUGCUCACAAGUGUUCAACUAUAGGCAAAAAUGCUUCAUCUUCAAAGAGAUUCAUGGAAAGGACCCUGACAAGUACUCUAACGACUGGACCACCAGGGAAUCCACCCCCGUCUUGUUUUUGGCAACGCUGGGUGGCUUUCAGAAUCUUAAUUCCUCGACCAGGGAUUGAACCCCGGGCCCAGGCAGUGAAAGCGCCGAGUCCUAAACAAGUACUCUAAAGUAUACGUUUCUGAUAACUUUAAGAUCGUAACACUGAACUGGGUAAGACUUUAUAAAACUCUAAUGAAAACUGGUUGAUUGAUGAAGCUGCUAACCCAAGAUGAAGCAAAACAAGAAUUAACAGGAGACUGAAUGAACU